GGCCUCGUAGCUCAGCUGGUAGGGCGUGCACGUACAAAAACGUAGACGGCGUUCAUGCGUGUGGGUUCGAACCCCACCGAGGUUA
rnacentral:tRNA from 1 species